AACGAACGCUGGCGGCAGGCUUAACACAUGCAAGUCGAGCGCCCCGCCAGGGGGGCGGCAGACUGGUGAGUAGCGCGUGGGGACCUACCCUUAUCUUCGGGAUAGCUCCGGGAAACGGGAAUUAAUACCGAAGGUGCCCUAUGGGGGAACGAUUUAUCGGAUACGGAUCGGCCCGCGUGGGAUUAGCUCGUUGGUGGGGUGAAGGCGUACCAAGGCGACGAUCCAUAGCUGGUCAGAGAGGAUGAUCAGCCACAUUGGGAGUGAGACACGGCCCAGACUCCUACGGGAGGGAGCAGUGGGGAAUAUUGGACAAUGGGCGCAAGCCUGAUCCAGCCAUGCCGCGUGAGUGAUGAAGGCCUUAGGGUUGUAAAGCUCUUUCACCGGAGAAGAUAAUGACGGUAACCGGAGAAGAAGCCCCGGCUAACUUCGUG
rnacentral:rRNA from 1 species